AAUCAACGCUGGCGGCGUGCCUCAGACAUGCAAGUCGAACGCGAAAGGUUCCUUCGGGGACCGAGUAGAGUGGCGCACGGGUGAGUAACACGUAGGUAAUUUGCCUUUGGGUGGGAAUAACUCAGGGAAACUUGAGCUAAUACCGCAUAAUGCAGCGGCUCGACAUCGAGACAGUUGUUAAAGCGGGGAGUUCGCAAGAACCUCGCGCCUAAAGAGAAGCCUGCGGCAGANAGUCUAGUUGGUAAGGUAAUGGCUUACCAAGGCGACGAUCUGUAACCGGCCUGAGAGGGCGGUCGGUCACACUGACACUGACAUACGGGUCAGACUCCUACGGGAGGCAGCAGUCGGGAAUUUUGGGCAAUGGGCGAAAGCCUGACCCAGCAACGCCGCGUGAAGGAUG
rnacentral:rRNA from 1 species